rnacentral:rRNA from 1 species
UACGGGGGGGGCAAGCGUUGUUCGGAAUUACUGGGCGUAAAGGGUGCGUAGGUGGCGGGGCAAGUCUGGUGUGAAAUCUCGGGGCUCAACCCCGAAACUGCACUGGAUACUGCCUUGCUCGAGUACUGGAGAGGAGAUUGGAAUUUACGGUGUAGCAGUGAAAUGCGUAGAUAUCGUAAGGAAGACCAGUGGCGAAGGCGAAUCUCUGGACAGUUACUGACACUGAGGCACGAAGGCCAGGGGAGCAAACGGG